rnacentral:rRNA from 1 species
GAUGAACGCUGGCGGCGUGCCUAAUACAUGCAAGUCGAGCGAACAGAUAAGGAGCUUGCUCCUUUGACGUUAGCGGCGGACGGGUGAGUAACACGUGGGUAACCUACCUAUAAGACUGGGAUAACUUCGGGAAACCGGAGCUAAUACCGGAUAACAUUUGGAACCGCAUGGUUCUAAAGUGAAAGAUGGUUUUGCUAUCACUUAUAGAUGGACCCGCGCCGUAUUAGCUAGUUGGUAAGGUAACGGCUUACCAAGGCGACGAUACGUAGCCGACCUGAGAGGGUGAUCGGCCACACUGGAACUGAGACACGGUCCAGACUCCUACGGGAGGCAGCAGUAGGAAAUCUUCCGCAAUGGGCGAAAGCCUGACGGAGCAACGCCGCGUGAGUGAUGAAGGGUUUCGGCUCGUAAAACUCUGUUAUUAGGGAAGAACAAACGUGUAAGUAACUGUGCACGUCUUGACGGUACCUAAUCAGAAAGCCACGGCUAACUACGUG